rnacentral:lncRNA from 1 species
AAAAAUAGCCAUUGGAAAAUAUAAAAUGGGUUAAAAUCCAUUUUUUUCAUUAAAUUUCAACUUCAUUUGAAUGUGUUUUGUUUUAAUCAUUCUUUAUAUGCUUUUCAUGUUUUAGUAGAUUUUUAUUUUUAUUUUGUUUCACCACUUAUUUUAUCUCCCAAGACUUGCCCGAUUAUCAUGGUUGAAUCGGCCGGUUUACUAGUUAGGCUGGUUAAACCGCUACAACGUCCAUGUCCGGUUAACAAUUCCGGUUUGAUUUUGCGAACACUGGAUUAAGCUGAUGACGAUAAGGUUCACUUCAAUGGAUUGUUGAAAAAACUUGAGGGAAGAGAUGGACCCACUCUUAGGAUUAAGAGCAGUGUCUUUAGACUAUCGUUCGUAAAGAUCAGGCUUUUACCAUAAUUGUGAGAACUCUGUAAAUUUAUGUGUACCUCUCCAUGGCCAUGAAACCCUUCUUAAAGAGGGAUGGAAGAUGUUGUUUUCCAACGUUCGGCUUCUUCUUGAAAUCUCUGAGAAAAUGUAGCCCUGUAAUCGUGGGAAGUGGGUGGUUACUUUCUAGCCGUUAAAUAACAACACUUUCUCUCUCUAAGAAGCCUCUCUUUUUUAGUGAUAAGCAUUAAAUUAUAAGAGAGAGAAAUAUUGCCUGUUUAAAGGCUCCAUAGCCAUACACACGUACCAACAUCUCCCACU